rnacentral:misc_RNA from 1 species
GAUGAAGAACGCAGCGAAAUGCGAUAAGUAAUGUGAAUUGCAGAAUUCAGUGAAUCAUCGAAUCUUUGAACGCACAUUGCGCCCCCUGGUAUUCCGGGGGGCAUGCCUGUCCGAGCGUCAUUACAACCCUCAAGCUCCGCUUGGUAUUGGGCCCCGCCGACCCGGCGGGCCCUAAAGUCAGUGGCGGUGCCGUCCGGCUCCGAGCGUAGUAAUUCUUCUCGCUCUGGAGGUCCGGUCGUGUGCUCGCCAGCAACCCCCAAUUUUUUUCAGGUUGACCUCGGAUCAGGUAGGGAUACCCGCUGAACUUAAGCAUAUCAAUAAGCGGAGGA